GGCUCAGGAUGAACGCUGGCGGCGUGCCUAAUACAUGCAAGUCGAGCGAACUUUUGGGAGCUUGCUCCCAAAAGUUAGCGGCGGACGGGUGAGUAACACGUGGGCAACCUGCCUAUAAGACUGGGAUAACUUCGGGAAACCGGAGCUAAUACCGGAUAACAUAUGAGACCACAUGGUCUCAUAUUAAAAGAUGGCUUUUAGCUAUCACUUAUAGAUGGGCCCGCGGCGCAUUAGCUAGUUGGUGAGGUAAUGGCUCACCAAGGCGACGAUGCGUAGCCGACCUGAGAGGGUGAUCGGCCACACUGGGACUGAGACACGGCCCAGACUCCUACGGGAGGCAGCAGUAGGGAAUCUUCCGCAAUGGACGAAAGUCUGACGGAGCAACGCCGCGUGAGCGAAGAAGGUCUUCGGAUCGUAAAGCUCUGUUGUUAGGGAAGAACAAGUACCGUUCAAAUAGGGCGGUACCUUGACGGUACCUAACCAGAAAGCCACGGCUAACUACGUGCCAGCAGCCGCGGUAAUACGUAGGUGGCAAGCGUUAUCCGGAAUUAUUGGGCGUAAAGCGCGCGCAGGCGGUCCUUUAAGUCUGAUGUGAAAGCCCACGGCUCAACCGUGGAGGGUCAUUGGAAACUGGGGGACUUGAGUGCAGAAGAGGAGAGCGGAAUUCCACGUGUAGCGGUGAAAUGCGUAGAGAUGUGGAGGAACACCAGUGGCGAAGGCGGCUCUCUGGUCUGUAACUGACGCUGAGGCGCGAAAGCGUGGGGAGCGAACAGGAUUAGAUACCCUGGUAGUCCACGCCGUAAACGAUGAGUGCUAAGUGUUAGAGGGUUUCCGCCCUUUAGUGCUGCAGCAAACGCAUUAAGCACUCCGCCUGGGGAGUACGGUCGCAAGACUGAAACUCAAAGGAAUUGACGGGGGCCCGCACAAGCGGUGGAGCAUGUGGUUUAAUUCGAAGCAACGCGAAGAACCUUACCAGGUCUUGACAUCCCGUGGCAACUCCUAAAAUAGAGCUUUCCCCUUCGGGGGACACGGUGACAGGUGGUGCAUGGUUGUCGUCAGCUCGUGUCGUGAGAUGUUGGGUUAAGUCCCGCAACGAGCGCAACCCUUGAUCUUAGUUGCCAGCAUUAAGUUGGGCACUCUAAGGUGACUGCCGGUGACAAACCGGAGGAAGGUGGGGAUGACGUCAAAUCAUCAUGCCCCUUAUGACCUGGGCUACACACGUGCUACAAUGGAUGGUACAAAGGGCAGCGAAACCGCGAGGUUAAGCCAAUCCCAUAAAACCAUUCUCAGUUCGGAUUGCAGGCUGCAACUCGCCUGCAUGAAGCCGGAAUCGCUAGUAAUCGCGGAUCAGCAUGCCGCGGUGAAUACGUUCCCGGGCCUUGUACACACCGCCCGUCACACCACGAGAGUUUGUAACACCCGAAGUCGGUGGGGUAACCGUAAGGAGCCAGCCGCCUAAGGUGGGACAGAUGAUUGGGGUGAAGUCGUAA
rnacentral:rRNA from 1 species